AACACCUUGUUGAUAAGAGAGGGUCAGAGGGAAAUGGACAGAUUGGGUCGAGAUUUUUUUGCCAGGAAGGAAAUAGUAACUCAUAUAAUCGCUCUUUUUUUUAUAACCGCGGUGAGCAGACCACAGCAGUUUCUACUCUUAUCAAGAACAGGAAUCUGGUUGCCCACACAGGACCGGAGAAGACUGGGGAAAAACAAAUAAGAUAUUUCACUGUAAUUUUCAGUGUCGUAUCUUCAUGAUGCCCUGAUGAGGAAAGACGAGAUGAACUAGCUGGUUCUGUUCAGGCAGAGAACCAUUCGGUUGUAUGCUACGGUCUAUAAAGUACGUAUGGGGGCCAUUGUGUUUCCUGCAGCCACUUAUGGAGCAGGUGACUCGACAAGCAUGACAUGAAAAACUUCUAAGACAAAUCAAGCACAAAAAAAAACAAACUUUCAGCCAAGUCAGUUUACUUGUAUCGUGCUUUUAAUAAUGGACAUUAUCAUAAAGCAGCUUUACAGAAAGAUAAAGAUUUUACUAAUGUUUAUUUAUCCCUAAUGAAUAAACCUGAGGUGAUGGUGGUGAGGGAACCCAUCCUCAUUUACUAAUGCAAUAGUGACAGAUUACAGCGAGUUCAUUAGAGUUUCAAUCAGAAAACUGAACAUCCCAUUUCUGUUAACAUAAAACCCACAUCCAGGAAUGCUACACGGACCGUACCGUUACAGUGUUUAACAAAUUACAUUAAAAGGAAAAGCAAACCUACGUCUACCGAACACCGUCCGUCUCUUAAAACGGCUCUUACAGGAACACGAGAACAUUUUGAUUAAAUACAUCGUUCAAGGUAUUUUUACAGUAUCAUGACUAAACUUCAAACUGAGUUCCACUGGACAGGCCACGCCCACAAGCACCAUGCUAUUCGAUCUUCCUCCACUGAGCCACUCAUUCCUUUUCUUCAGUCCCCAUGUCUCCUUUGUCCUCGUUCCCCUCCACCGCUCGACACUGACUGAGGUGCUGAUGGAGGCCUGCGAGACUGGACUCAAACGGACAGUAGGGACACUGGUAGCGUUCUUGUCUGUGGUACAGGUUGAUGUGGCGGCUCAAAAGACUUUCCAGCAUGAAGCUCUCGCCGCAUUCUUUACAAGCGUGUGGUUUAGGGACGUCAUGUUCGCGACUGACGUGGUGCAGUAAUGAUCCUUUAUUCUUAUAGCGCUCUUUACAGAAUUUGCAUUCAUAAUACGGGGCACUUGAGGAAUCGGAGUAGUGCUCAACAGCAGCUGCUGGAAUGCUAUCCGACACGUUCACGUCUUCGUCCUCGUCUUCACCACCCGACGCAGAGCUUCGCUUCCUCUUCAGUGAGUCCUCAGUGGAUCUUUCUUCAGUCAUGUCGUCCUGAUCAGGUUUAAUCUCUGGAGUAGGAUUCCUGUCCUGCUCCUGUCCCUCCCCGUCGCCUUUCUCAGUGCGCGCGGCUUUCGGAGCAGUUAAGCAGUGCCUCGCCAGCAGGUGCUCGAACAGUACAGCGUAGUCCUUGGAUGUGAAGAAGCAGAUGUGGCAGUGGAAGAGUUUGGCUGUGCACUGGUAGAAAACCACUUUACCUAAACGGCCCACGCACACGUCCUCACAGCGGAGGGGGUGCUGUGAGCCAACGUGGAUUUGGAACGAGAACUUGGCGCCACAUCUGUAGCGGCAAUACGGACACUGUAUACCAGAGCUCACCGUCCGCCGCUUCACAUCUACUGUGGAUAAUGUCUGAGGUUCAGGUGCUUCAGCCUCUCUGAGAUCAUGAGCUCCUCGAAUCACUGAGGCAUCUUUACCAUCACUUUGGGUGAUAGGCUGGAAAGGAAUAAAUGAAAGCGUGAGGAGAAAGACAAGAGGAACUAAUCAAUCAAAACCAAUCAAUAAAGCACGUUCUUCUUUUUACCUGCAGAGAAACAGUCUGAUCAGAGGGGAAUUAAACAACACCCCUCAUGGAACUCCGUGAAACAGCACAGAGAAGCUACACUCCAAGAGAACAGUGGGCCAGAAACCCUGUGUGGGAGUAGAACAUGGAUAUGUACAUGGAUAGAACCCUUGAGGAGGCUAGCUUAAAGAUUUAGCCAGCUAACAAGCUAACAGGAGCAGAAAGACUCCACACAGACACUGUUCCUCUCCACUCACCUUCUGGACUAAACGGGGACAAGAAAAAAAGAAUGAAGAAAGAACUCUGGUGUUUCUACAGCACCACGUAUUUCUUUCAGGCUAAUUUUAGUUUUAUUUUGAAGCUCUUCUUCAUGAGCUGACUGGGUGAAAAAAAGCACAACACUGCCACCUGGUGGAUAGACAGGACAGGACAGGUUCCUCUGCGGUUCUGCACUGUGAGGAGCUCAACCCAGAACGUCAGAUCCUGUGGAAUAUUUCAUAUAUAAUCAGAUAUCUCAGAUGUAAUCUAGUUAUGGAGAACCCAGCCACAGCCUAAAGGGUCACCAGUUUGAUUCCCUGGACCAGCAGGAAAAUCCAUGGCUGAAGUGCCCUUUAGUAAAGCACCUAACCCUAACUGCCCAUCAGGCCCUGGGUGUGUGUUCCUUGUAUGUUGCUCAGGAUAAGAGUGUCUGCUAAAUGCCCGUAACAUAAUGUAAAUCAGAAUCAUAUAUAAAAUCAUUUUGUUUGGGCCAACUGAUAA